UACUAGAAACCUAAGCCAGAAGAAAUUGCCUUUAUUGCUAUCUAGUACUUAAUCCAGAGGUAACUUUCAUAGUAACACUUACAAUAAAUGCAUGACACAUUGUUUAAUAAACCACUUAUAAGCCUGUUAACCCAGAGAGAAGCCUGCAGAAGGUUAAUUUCUUAUGCAGCCUAGAGCAUUAUUUGUCACAUACAGGUUGUAACAGAUUAUGAAAUCAAUGGAUCAUAAAAGUUUUUCAAAUGACACAUACUACACAUAAUAAUUACAUAGUAUGGACAUAAAAUACAGGUCAUCAUACAUACCUAUAUUAAUGAGCAGAGUAAAUCCUAAUGAC
rnacentral:lncRNA from 1 species